UCCCCGGAGAGGGCUCCGGGUCUGGGUCCGGCUUGGGGCGAAGGAUGCCCCCCCCCCGACCCCGGGGUGUGCGGGGAUGCAAGCCGAGUCGCUGGAUCCGUAUGGGGAUGAGGUGCCCAAACGCCUCUGGGUGUCUGCGGGCAGAGCUCUGGUGGGUUCCAGCCCCGGAGUUGUGCUUACGGCCCUUCUGCGGUGCUUCUUCGGCGCAUGGGUGGGACCCUGCUUUUAUUUUCCGAAUUACUGCAAAAACCCCCAAAGUCGAGGAAAGUCCUCCCUGCGGUUUUGCUCGGAGAGGCUUGGCGGUGGGGACGUGCUUGGGCUGGGACCCACGGAGCUCGCGAUGGAAGGAGAGCCCCGCUGCGAGCGGCGUGGAGAGCCCAGUAAGGAACAGGUUGAGGAGCACCAGGCCAAGGGAGGGAAAUGGAGGAGAAACUGGCUGUAAACAAAGGGAGCGUGACUAGACUAGCCUGGCUCCGGCACUCUGCUGAAGGGAGAACAAAAAAUAAACUGCAGAAGGAGGGAAAAGUCAAUUAUGUUUUCAGCUGGCUGGAGCAGAGUUCGGUUUUGCAGGCAGUACUGCAAAGGGAGGCUCUAGGAAGCGUGCUGGGAUGGGGGAUUUGGGGCUGUGCAAACAGGCGUCAGCGGAGCUGCUGGCUGAGCAUCUGUCCCACAGCAAGCGAUGCUCCUUUUGUCGAGAGAAGGUGAUCCCCUGGGCUGGCCUGGCUUGUGGCUGGACGGACCUGGAGGACAUCUGUCCCCUCGGUCUCUUGGUCUUUGGAAGACAGGGGCUAGUUCAUGCUCUCAUUUAGAAACGCGCAGUUUUCAAAUUGCUCCAUCUUUUGAUAUUUGAAGAGUUUGGGUUUAAGGUUUGGGGCGGCUUGCUCUAAGGCUUUUUUUCUGUAAUACCAAGUUUUAUGUAUUUUCCACGGUACGUCGGAAAAAUCAUAAGCACAAACUGCAGCUCGUGCUUCUACAGGCCCGCGAGAACCGGUGGGAGCAAACGAUGUGCUCCCCACUCUGCUUCUGCUCAGGGACACUGGCUGUGCCUGCACUUCUGUGCCCUUUGGGGAUGAAAUUGGUAUAAUGAUUACACUUGGAUUCCUUUAUGCUCUAAACCAGACAUGAGGUAUCAAGAUGGAAAAUGUUAGGGUCCUGCCUGUACUGGAAAGGCUUGGGGGGCACUGGGCAGGCAGGGGCUCUGCUCAGAGAUGCCGGGUUAGGGUCUGCAGGACGGGAAUGGCUCCCACCAGCCUUAGAGCUGAUCCUCCUGCUAAGGAGAAAAGAAGCUUUCAGGACAUAAAAUUGGAUGUAAAGAGGGGAAAAAUGAUCACCAGCUCUCUGGCCGUGUUGCUUAGGAGAGAGCGAAGGGGUGUUGUGGUGCAGCAGCAUGCUCUGCACGGGGACACCGUGGUCUUCAGCCCUUCCACGGGCCAGGCAGCUUGGCAGCUUCCCCAAGCCAGCACCAUCAUAAGCCCGAUAUUAAGCAGCGGCCUGGGACUGACAAUAGGAUUCUUGUUUGGGGUUUUUUUUUGUAUUUUAAAAAAGAUGAGAUUAACCAGCUGAAGUUAACAAACUCUGGAAUCCAACAAACCCCAAUGAAUCACCAGGAGCAAACACUGCUCCGUGGCUGUCAGCCCUCUGAAGGGAACUCAUUGACUCACUAAAAUCUCAGCGAUGCUCCCGUGAUGCCAGCACUACCUGGGCUUUGCCGGCACGGCCACCAGUCCAGCGUCGCUUCCCCGCUCAGCCGUGGCUUGGAGUCCCGUGGGAGCAGGGAGGUGAUCCCGCUGGAGCUCGUCUCCAUCCCACACACAUCCCUCAGCAUCUCACCGUAUUCUGGUUUCUUGGUUCGUUGCUUUUGCUGCCGGGCUGUACCUGGACUGUGUGCAGCCUUGGGCUGGAAGGUGAGCACCGCUUCCCACCCGGAGCCUCAGCAGGGCUCAUCCGAGCAGAUUGAAACGGGUGGACGUGCUCCUAAAAUUAACCUGCAAAAACUGCCUUGAUAGGACACUGACAGCCAAAGCGGAAUCAAAUUAUCGUUUGGAAUUACCAUGAGAUAAUUGGCCUCAUUUGCUAUUUUAAGGUGUUAAAAAAAAGGCUCCCUCUCCCAGACAACUGCAAUGGAGAAAUAUUCAGGCGUAGAUGAUGUCCCAAAACAUAUCAUUAAAGCUUUAAAUAAAUGUAUGAUGACAUCUCAUGUUAAGAAAGACUUCCUUUGUAUUUCAGAUAGGAACCAGCCAGGUCAUUUUCAAAGUCAUUUUUUAAAGAACAAAAGAUAUUCCUCUUGUUUUUCCAGACACGCAACUUCAAAUAUUUGGAGAUGUAAAUAUGUAAUUUGAAUUCUUUCACACAUUAUGGGUUUAAAAAUCAUCUUCCUUUGAGAUGCCUCUUGCUUGCCAAAAGGAUUAAAUGCCAAGGCAGCUACACAGCAUUAUAAAGAAAAUAAAAAUAUGAAUUGGAGGAGCCAAGUUCUGCAUUUGCUGCUUCACUAUCACGAUGUGUCUGAGCACAUGGCGGCACGGACACGCCAGAAGCAUGUCCCACAGCUCUGGUCCCAUUCCCAGUCCAGCUGGUCCGGUCGGGGCUCAGAGCACCGCGUCCAGCUUCUCCCUCUUUAGGAGGGACAAUGUGGAUGGUGACCAAGACGUGAAACCCUUGCCCGGUGCGUUGGGUCCAAGAAGGCUCCGGCUCUGCUCCCCGUGCUGCACAGGUACCUGCUCUUGCCCAAAGUCCGGCUGAUGGAAACCAACCCUUGGAGCCUAAAAAAGUUCUGUAACAAGCAGAGCUUGUGGAGAAAGGUGGUGGUGACCUGCAGGCAGCGCAGCACAUGGGCAGGGCUGCCUGUUCUUACCGCUCCCUGGACGUCCCCUGCGGAGCGGGUGACACGGGGCUGUUUGUCUUGGACGUGCUGGGAUGGACUGGAAAACAGCAUUGACCUCUUAAGCAACACUGGGGGUUUUUGGCCGACCAGCCGGUG